rnacentral:rRNA from 1 species
AUGUGUAUUCUCAAGAAAGAAGGGGGUAUGGGCUUCAGAGAUAUUCACUGCUUUAAUCUUGCACUUCUGGCAAAACAGGCAUGGCGCCUUAUUGACAACCCGGACUCUUUGUGUGCGUUGAUCCUUAAGGCAAAAUAUUUUCCUGAUGGAGAUAUGAUGAAUGCAACUUUAAAAAAGAAGGCUUCAUAUACAUGGCGGAGUAUUAUGGCCGGAGUUGAUACGCUCAGACGUGGGUAUAUUUAG